rnacentral:lncRNA from 1 species
AUGGACAGAAGGCCUGGUUCUCAUUGGUUCAGAUUGGAGGGCUCAAUUUGCCGAUCAAAUGUCUUUAGCCCUUCCUGCUGGAUGGAGCACAGUGGGCAGCAAACAGGAGACACGGUUCUUUUGGUGCUCGAGCCCAUGGCUCAACAUGCAAGCACUUUACCUGAGAUGUUUUCCUCAGUGACAGCCCCUGCUCUCCAAGAGCAAGAGCCUGUGAGCAAAGGACCUAAUACUCAUCAAAGAAUGGAGAGACCCCAAUCUCUAAGGCUGACCUUUCAGCUUCUCUGCUUCCAGCUUGCUCUGCUGCUCCACCCUCUGUUCUUCUGGGAUCUCUUCAACAGACACCUGCUGCCGGGGUGUGUCUCUCUCCUUUUCCAAGUUCAUUUCUCCUAG